GAGACACCCUUAUGGGGCAAUAUUUGCUUCAGUGGGGCUUUGGUGCUCACUGAGUCUGGCCCUGAGUGUGUCCCU
rnacentral:pre_miRNA from 1 species